rnacentral:lncRNA from 1 species
UCAGAGUUCUUGUUAACUAGCAGAGGGACACAGUCAGCGAUGUAUCAUUGCUCCAGUCCUGCACACCAGUAAGAUUCAUUGGAAGGAGAGGAAGGAAAGGGCGGCUGCCUUGGGUCAAGUCAUCUGGGCGAACGAC